GACACCCUUGUUCAUCCUUUGUGCCCUUCCAGGUCUGUCCCCCACAGUAACCACACUGGAGUGGACUCCCUGUGUACCUUGCCACCUUGGCACAGAGACUGGACAGAGUUGCCAUCUAUGAGGAAUUCCUGUGGCUGAACCAGAAUGGUACCCAGCUGCAGAACUUUACCCUGGACAGGAAGAGUGUCCUUGGGGAUGAAUAUUCUCCCAACAGAGAUGACACCUUGAUUGUGAAGCCUGGUAAGCCUGCAGGAAGCCCCAGCCCAGGGUAGGAGGCGAGUAUCUUGAUGCUGUGCCUCAUCGAAGAGAACCAGGAUGCAGACCAGAAAAUGAGGCUCAGAGCGGCAGUGACUUACCAAAGAUCACACAUCUGGG